rnacentral:tRNA from 1 species
GGGCGGGUAGCUCAGUUGGCUAGAGCACUCGCUUUACACGCGAGGGGUCGCGGGUUCGAGUCCCGCCCCGCCCAC